rfam:Glomerella graminicola M1.001 genomic scaffold supercont1.52, whole genome shotgun sequence.
GGCCGGUUGGCCCAAUGGCAAGGCGUCUGACUACGAUCAAGUAUGGUAUCAGGAGAUUCUGGGUUCGACCCCCAGGCUGGUCA